CGAGCGAUACGGAAGCGGCCAUCCUACCUCCCUUGGAAGGAGGGAAACGCGGGUUCGAAUCCCGCUCGCUCGA
rnacentral:tRNA from 1 species